GUCGACGCAGCACCGGCAACUUGGAGAGCGUCGUACCAUUGAAAAGUGGUGAGACCGUGACCCUCUAGCAGUGUCCACAUAAUGGCAGGGAAAUGCAGGGAUCCCGCAGCCAUGGCUACAGCAGCACGGCGUGUAAUCUGGAUGUCAUGUCAGGGUACACGUGCACUCGCUUCAAGACGACGACCCUCCACCUCAAAAACAGCCUCUCCUCAAAGACUAGCAGGGAGACUAAAUGAAAGGAAAAUACCACAUCCGUAACCAGACAGAUACUAUGUGUUCCUUACAUUUAACCUCCUUCUCUCUUUAAGGAAGCGUGGCAUAUGCCCAAUAAAUGUUUUUAUCAACUUUUUUUCGUUGAGAAAUGUCUAAUGUGCAGCAUAUGUACGAGCCCACGUACAUGUUGGAAAAAGUGCUGCACCUUAGCUUGAUAUAUGUAUAUCAAGCACGAAAGACACAUCAGAAAAUGUUGCCACAUGUGGUGGCUAAUUUUGUUUUAGGAAUUCUAUGAAUGCCAGCAAUCUAAUGUGUAAACUCAGCAGAGGCUCAUUAGGAAGACAUGACACGGUCACACGAAAACUGCUUUGGAGCACGCAUUAGGAAGACAUUUCAUGCUCACAAGAAAAACACUCAUCAAGUAUGCAUCAGAACGACGGUGGCUAAUAUGUUUUAGAAUGACAUUAGGAAUACAUCAGAAUAUUUCCGAAGAAACACAUCAGAGACUCAUUUGGCUGUAAUGUCAAAAGUCAUCAGACCUUCACGUGAAACUCAUCUCAUAUUUUCUU